ACGAACGCUGGCGGCAUGCCUAACACAUGCAAGUCGAACGAGACCUUCGGGUCUAGUGGCGCACGGGUGCGUAACGCGUGGGAAUCUACCCUCAGGUUCGGAAUAACUCAGAGAAAUUUGAGCUAAUACCGGAUGAUGACGUAAGUCCAAAGAUUUAUCGCCUGAGGAUGAGCCCGCGUAGGAUUAGGUAGUUGGUGAGGUAAAGGCUCACCAAGCCGACGAUCCUUAGCUGGUCUGAGAGGAUGAUCAGCCACACUGGGACUGAGACACGGCCCAGACUCCUACGGGAGGCAGCAGUGGGGAAUAUUGGACAAUGGGCGAAAGCCUGAUCCAGCAAUGCCGCGUGAGUGAUGAAGGCCUUAGGGUUGUAAAGCUCUUUUACCCGGGAUGAUAAUGACAGUACCGGGAGAAUAAGCGCCGGCUAACUCCGUG
rnacentral:rRNA from 1 species